GUCGUCAAUACAAUUGAGUUAAAAUUUCUAAGUUCGAGCAACGAUGGUUUUCGUGUUGAACGCGACAAUUUGCAAACGGCCAACAACGGAUCUUAAAUUAUCCGAUGUAAUGUUUUCAAAUCCGUACGUGACAUGCUACAGUGUAAGAUAAGAUAUCCAAAUAACCAUUGGAAUUAACUCAAAAAGUGACUUCUAAAAUAUAAUUAUAAGCACACAAUUUUACUUAGGCUACGCUACUAGGGUCGCUGCACACAGGUGAUUGAACGCUUUUCUGGGCUGAGAAUAUAGUAAGGACUUAGCCUGCGAACAGGCUCUGAAGCUGAAUUGAGAGCCUGCAUUGAUGACUAAUGAAUUUGAAUAUCUGCCCCGUAACGUUCGUUUUUCCAAAUAUGGAAUGUCUAUCCUUAUAUGGUGUUGUUUACAACUUUCAUGCAAACUAAAUUUAGACC